rnacentral:miRNA from 1 species
UUAGCUUGGUGCAAAAGUAGUUGUGGUUUUUGCCAUUGAAAGUAAUGGCAAAAACGGCAAUUACAUUUGCACCAACCUAAUAGAAA